UUCCCAGUGGCUCAGAGGGUAAAGCAUCUGCCUGCAAUGCAGGAGACCUGGGUUCGAUCCCAGGUCAGGAAA
rnacentral:tRNA from 1 species